GUGUCACAAUGGUAAUUCAACCUAGUACGAGAGGGACCGUUGAUUCGCACAAUUGGUAAUCGCGCUUGGUUGAAAAGCCAGUGGCACGAAGCUACCAUGCGUUGGAUUAUGACUGAAUGCCUCUAAGUCAGAAUCCGGGCCACAAGAGAUGC
rfam:Beta vulgaris subsp. vulgaris Bvchr7.sca002.con0137.1, whole genome shotgun sequence.